UACGUAGGGUGCGAGCGUUAAUCGGAAUUACUGGGCGUAAAGCGUGCGCAGGCGGUUGUGCAAGACAGGUGUGAAAUCCCCGGGCUUAACCUGGGAACUGCGCUUGUGACUGCACAGCUGGAGUGCGGCAGAGGGGGAUGGAAUUCCGCGUGUAGCAGUGAAAUGCGUAGAUAUGCGGAGGAACACCGAUGGCGAAGGCAAUCCCCUGGGCCUGCACUGACGCUCAUGCACGAAAGCGUGGGGAGCAAACAGG
rnacentral:rRNA from 1 species